rnacentral:rRNA from 1 species
UACGUAGGGUGCGAGCGUUAAUCGGAAUUACUGGGCGUAAAGCGUGCGCAGGCGGUUAUGUAAGACAGUUGUGAAAUCCCCGGGCUCAACCCUGGGGAACUGCAUCUGUGACUGCAUAGCUAGAGUACGGUAGAGGGGGAUGGAAUUCCGCGUGUAGCAGUGAAAUGCGUAGAUAUGCGGAGGAACACCGAUGGCGAAGGCAAUCCCCUGGACCUGUACUGACGCUCAUGCACGAAAGGCGUGGGGAGCAAACAGG